rnacentral:lncRNA from 1 species
GCAGGUUUGGGGCUCAUAUUUGUAUGUCCUGCGUCCUCCCCCAAACGCUCUCUCAGACACAUUAUUUUACACCCAGGUUCCCAGGCAUGAAGAUCCCGGUUGAAGGGAAUGCAAUGUCCUCUGUGAUUUUACACCCACAAACCCGUCCUGAGCCUGCCCAGAGCGUGACCUGAUGCAGUGCCUCCCACUGGGCAACCAGGCGCAGCUGCACCGUGUUCCCGCGGGUGCCUCCCAUCUUGGGUUGGCACAUGUGGGUUCUAAACACCCAUGUCCUGCAUUUAAAGGUAAGAGGGGAUGUAAAGCGUGGAUAGGAACUAGGCCACUAUUAAAAAGGAGAGUUUAGUAAAGAGAAAAAAAAACGAAUUAAUCACUGGAGAUGAAAACUGUAACAAUAAAAUGAAAAGCCUACGCACGGAUGAAAUGUCAAAGAGCCUGACAAGUGGACAGAGCGAGGGAGUGGAUCAGACAUGAGGUGACCUUGCAGAUCUCCGAGGAGGCAGGGCUUUGGCAGAGUUGAUGCAGGAGACGCUGGCGCCCCGCAGGCCUGGCAGGGCGGCCCAGCGGGAGGGAGCGCAAAUGCAGGGCAGGGGUCAUGGGGCGCGGGCGGUGGUGGCGCAGGUCAGGAGAGCCCUUGGGGAAACCGAGGAAGGCUCCAAACAUGGCACAAGACGUCAACUGCGUUCCUGCUCUGAAAUGAUGGGAGAGGAGUCUCCGCGUAGCAUCCCGGGGUUUGUGGAGAAGAACCACUCGGGAAGACCCCCGAUCAGCACCUGGAUUCUUUAUUGUUCCUUUGGGCAAUGGGGACGAGCUUGCCUUGCAAACUUCACUGUGCAAAAGAUGGUAAGUGAGUGGUGCUUUCCCAGGACUGGUGUUUCUUGGACACCUCAACUCUCAGCACCGACCAGGGACCCUUCUGCAUCUGAGGUGGCACCGAUUCACAUUUAUAUCUCCACCCCCCAAGGUUUAGGUGAGAGGUUCAUCUGGCACCUUCACUCGAUCCCGGUCAGAAGCGAACAUCUGCUCCGUGUCUGACCCUGAAGUUUGAAGAUGAUUUGACAACAUGUAGGAUGAGCAGGUGUGAGUCUCUGUGGACACGGGUUGGGGCGGGGGGGCAAUGGAAAGAAAUCCCAAACACGGGGUGCAAAUGCUCCUC